rnacentral:rRNA from 1 species
GAUGAACGCUGGCGGCGUGCCUAAUACAUGCAAGUCGAGCGAACAGACGAGGAGCUUGCGCCUCUGACGUUAGCGGCGGACGGGAGAGUAACACGUGGAUAACCUACCUAUACGACUGGGAUAACUUCGGGAAACCGGAGCUAAUACCGGAUAAUAUAUUGAACCGCAUGGGUCAAUAGUGAAAGUCGGUUUUGCUGUCACUUAUAGAUGGAUCCGCGCCGCAUUAGCUAGUUGGUAAGGUAACGGCUUAGCAAGGCUACGAUGCGUAACCGACCUGAGCGCGUGGUUGGCUAGACGGGAUGAGAGACACGGCCCAGACUCCUACGGGAGGACGCAGUCCGGACUCUUACGCGAUGGAGGAAAGCCUGACGUAGCACAGUGGCGGGAGGGAUGAAGGUGCUCGGAUCGUAAAGCUAUGAUAUCCGUAGAGUUGAAAUGUUCAUUUAACCAUGAAGGUAUUGACGGUACCGAGACAAUAAGCUACGGCUAACUACGUG